rnacentral:misc_RNA from 1 species
GAUGAAGAACGCAGCGAAAUGCGAUAAGUAGUGUGAAUUGCAGAAUUCCGUGAAUCAUCGAAUCUUUGAACGCACAUCGCGCCUUCUGGUAUUCCGGAAGGCAUGCCUGUUCGAGAGUCAUUAACAACCGUUUCGAUCCCUUUCUUUCAGAAAUUACAAAGAGGAAAAGGGUUUGGUUAUGGUGGAGGAGGGAAAGGGAGCGUUUAGCCUGUAAAAAAAGAGGCUGUGUUCCGCCUCCCCCCCAAAAUUGUACAGGCGGUCGUGUGCGCCCACGCAUCGAGGUGUUGUAAAAGCUGCCACGGCACUUUUCACCUGUGCAGUGCGAGAUUGGCCAGCCGGUUUAAAAACCCCUCCAAACAAUCAAAGGUUGACCUCGGAUCAGGUAGGGAUACCCGCUGAACUUAAGCAUAUCAAUAAGCGGAGGA